rnacentral:rRNA from 1 species
UACGUAGGGUGCGAGCGUUGUCCGGAAUUAUUGGGCGUAAAAGAGCUCGUAGGCGGUUCGUCACGCGGCUGUGAAAUCCCGAGGCUCAACCUCGGGGUCUGCAGUCGAUACGGGGCGGACUGGAGUACUGCAGGGGGAGACUGGAAAUUUCCUGGUGUAGCGGGUGAAAAAUGCGCAGAUAUCAGGAGGAAACACCGGUGGGCAAAGGGCGGGGGUCUCUGGG